AUUGAACGCUGGCGGCAGGCCUAACACAUGCAAGUCGAACGAGUGGCGGACGGGUGAGUAAUGUCUGGGAAACUGACUGGUGGAGGGGGAUAACUACUGGAAACGGUAGCUAAUACCGCAUACCAUCAGAUGUGCCCAGAUGGGAUUAGCUCGGUGGUGGGGUAACGGCUCACCAAGGCGACGAUCCCUAGCUGGUCUGAGAGGAUGACCUGCCACACUGGAACUGCGCCACGGCUCAGACUCCUACGGGAGGCAGCAGUGGGGAAUAUUGCACAAUGGGCGAAAUCCUGAUGCAGCCAUGCUGCGUGUAUGAAGAAGUCCUUCGGGUUGUAAAGUACUUUCAGCUGGGAGGCGUUACCCGCUGAAGAAGCACCGGCUAACUCCGUGCCAGCCGCCGCGGUAAUUC
rnacentral:rRNA from 1 species